rnacentral:lncRNA from 1 species
GCUGCGGGUACCUUUGUUUCACCAUUAUUCAGCUCAUCUCAGAGCCCUCCUUUAAUUGUUACUCAAAAAGUUUCAUACAGGAAUGGAGCACGAACAAAAAACGACUUCUACCUCCACAUCUUGGCGUUGAUACCGAGGUCUCUGUGCGUGUGGAGGCUUCAGCUUGUGUACUCAAAGCAGAGCAAAUUACACAAGUCUCAUCCUUCUGGGCUUGGAAACAAAACACCGCCUGCUAUGCCAUGAGAAGGGCUCCGGAGCCAGGAAUUCCAAAGGCAUCUGAGCUGCAGGAAGUACACAGAAUCACAGAGCCCCAGAACGGUUUGGCUUGGAAGGGACCUUGGAGAUGUCCUCAUUCCACCCCCUGCCGUGUAGAUGUCCUCAUUCUCCCUAGGUCAGGUUGCUCAAAGCCCCAUCAGAUGUGUCUGAGAGCAGCUCCUAGCAUCUACUCAACUCAAAAUUCCUAUGAGGAAACCAAACCCACCUUCACUGGUGUACCUCAGUUCUCCCCCAAACCUUCAAAACUUCCAAACACAGAACCUCCAGGCGAGGAUCAAUGCAAACAUCUCACAAACUUUUAUCUCUGUCCAAAAGAGAUGUUUGAUUUGUCUUGUCAUCAUCCUUCAUCUCCACUUGGUGGUUUUUUUUCCUUCUUUUUUAUGACUUUAGGAAACUCCUGGCUUUCUCAGGUAGGAUAUGCAUCUUCUGGUGGCACCUAAAAAAACCCCAAAAAAAACCAAAACAGAAACCUCAGGUCUCUGUUUUAGUAAUGACAGAGAUACUUAAUCAAAUACAUGCCCAGGAAUACCACGAGUCUCUAUGCAGAGAUAAAUGUCUGAAUUUUAUAGUGCAAUGUUUUCACUUCAGCACUUCCCAUCCAUGGAUCUCAUGGAACUUCAUUCAGGUGUCAUUACCCCAAUUUUUGUCAGACAGUGGAAGUGAAGCAGUUGCUGUUAGACCAGUGGCACAGUCUGGAGGCAGAUCAGAUACUUUGACCUGACUUUACAUCUUUCAGAUUCACACAGAUACAUACACAGAUACCUACAGGAAGUUAAAAGGGAUUUCUGAGAUGCUUCACACUAAAAUGCAUUGCAUCACUGAACAUCCACUACAUGCAUUUAAUUCCAAUCUUUGAAUUAAUAUUUAGGGGUAAACAUUAGUCUGGAUUUACAACCACAAUAUACAUGUCCACACCCUUCAUCCACUGAAAGAAUAAUUUUGUAUUUUUAUGCAGCAGUCACCACCAAAAAAAAUAAUACCGCCCUCCAAGGUAGAAGUCAAGCUAAUAAUAGUAAUAGUAAUUGCACUAUUUCUUCUUUAAAAUAUAUUCCUCCAUAUGAUUUCUCUAGAGGAAAACAUAGAUGUCUUUUGAUUGCUUUGUGUUUCCUUUCUAAAGCAUUUGAGAGAUCAAACUUGAGUAGUUUAAAUAUGAAUUUAAAAAAUAACUUAAAAAUUGAGAUUCACAUUGCCAAAUAUUAUGUUUGGACAUAUUUGUACCACUAGCAAUUCUGUAGCCAUUCAUGCAGGAAACAAAAGCAAUAAAUAUUUUUCCAGUCACAAAUAAACUCAUUUCUAAGCCCAGCUAUUUCCAGAGUAGAGUUUAUAUUCUCUUUCAUAAAAGUAGAAGGAUUGAUGGUGGUUUGAGGGGAAGUCAUACUUAAAACCGAUUUAGCAAUAAAUUAGUGCAAAACAUGCAGAAUCUGUGUAGGGCUAUUUGUUACAGAAAUAAAAAUGCUAAAUUCAUCCAAAAUUUUGUUUGCUGUGAAUUAUUCACUUAGCCCUGUCAGUUCCUGAACCUUUAUGAAGAUUUUGUGGAAAGCAAGAAAAAAAAAUAAAAACGAAUCAAGCAUAUGCAAAGCAAAACAGCAUCAAAAGUCAGAGAAGUCUCCAAGGGAGAUGAACUUCAAUGCCACAGUAGGGUAAACAAAUGGAAUUAUUUACAAUAUAACAUUAUCAUUUGCAACGCUAUUUUAUUCAUUAUUUAAUCACACAUACUGAGUCUCCCUCGCAGCCCAUGGCAGACAACAGAGCCAUUUUGUUCUGUCUUUCACCUCCCAUGUCUGUGUGGAAAUGAGAGAGUUUAUCUAACAUUCUGAGUUACUGCCUCCUGCCUGUUCAAAACACACUCCUUCCCCUCCAGCUGCUCAGGGGGCACACGGAUCUCAAGGUUACAAAGAUUUCAGGAGUUGAAAAUGGGCUCAAGAUCAUGAAUUCCCUGUAAGUGGGCCUUGCUUUCACUGGGUGUUGCUGGUUCUGUUACACUCUCACGCUGAAGACGUCUCCAAUAUUCCAGCUAGAUUGCAGGAAUCUCAGGGUUUCCUUCACAAUUUGCAUAACCAUGUGUCAAUCAAGGGCUAAACUUAAGCACCUCUUCUCUUAAUCCCCUAAUUCACAGGGGAGCAGGGGGGACAGGAGGGGUGGCAGUGGAAAUCAGCCAAAGGAGGAUACUGCCAGGAUUAACCUAAUCCAACUGCUACAACUAUUCAAUUUGGAGACUAAGGAUGAUAAAACCUAUUUCCCCAGUCAAUCAAUCAUUGUGAUCGACUUGCAAAAAAAAAAAAAA